rnacentral:rRNA from 1 species
UGGGGAAUUUUGGACAAUGGGGGCAACCCUGAUCCAGCCAUGCCGCGUGAGUGAAGAAGGCCUUCGGGUUGUAAAGCUCUUUCGGCCGGGAAGAAAUCGCUUCGGCUAAUACCUGGAGUGGAUGACGGUACCGGAAGAAGAAGCACCGGCUAACUACGUGCC